rnacentral:misc_RNA from 1 species
AAGUCGUAACAAGGUUUCCGUAGGUGAACCUGCGGAAGGAUCAUUACGAAAGGUGAGGUGCCCCCGGGGCGCCUCUAUACCUCAACCCUCUGUCUUCAUACCAUUGUUGCUUUGGUGGGCCGCGGGGGCAUUUGCUCCCCCGCCGGUUUCGGCCGGCGUGAGCCUGCCAGAGUCCAAGUAAAACUCAUCAAUCAUCGUCUGAAUGUCAUUUAAAUAAACUAAAACUUUCAACAACGGAUCUCUUGGUUCUA